rnacentral:rRNA from 1 species
AUUGAACGCUGGCGGCAUGCCUUACACAUGCAAGUCGAACGGCAGCACGGGAGCAAUCCUGGUGGCGAGUGGCGAACGGGUGAGUAAUAUAUCGGAACGUGCCCAGUAGUGGGGGAUAACUGCUCGAAAGAGCAGCUAAUACCGCAUUCGACCUAAGGGUGAAAGGGGGGGAUCGCAAGACCUCUCGCUAUUGGAGCGGCCGAUAUCAGAUUAGCUAGUUGGUGGGGUAAAGGCCUACCAAGGCAACGAUCUGUAGUUGGUCUGAGAGGACGACCAGCCACACUGGGACUGAGACACGGCCCAGACUCCUACGGGAGGCAGCAGUGGGGAAUUUUGGACAAUGGGCGCAAGCCUGAUCCAGCAAUGCCGCGUGCAGGAAGAAGGCCUUCGGGUUGUAAACUGCUUUUGUCAGGGAAGAAAUCCUCUAGGUUAAUACCCUUGGGGGGAUGACGGUACCUGAAGAAUAAGCACCGGCUAACUACGUGCCAGCCGCCGCCGUAAUAC